CACAGUGGAGGUAAAGAUUGUGGUGAAUUUAAUGAACACGAUUUUUGCUUUCCACUGC
rnacentral:pre_miRNA from 1 species